GCUGUAAAUUGUAAUGGCCAAA
rnacentral:miRNA from 1 species